rnacentral:lncRNA from 1 species
GAGACGAAAAAGUGGCCUUGUCUCCUUCUACCGGGACUGGAAGCAGUACAAGCAGGGCUUUGGCAGCAUCCGUGGGGACUUCUGGCUGGGGAACGAACACAUCCACCGGCUCUCCAGACAGCCAACCCGGCUGCGUGUAGAGAUGGAGCUAUCGCCUCUUCCUGGGGAACUACACUGGCAAUGUGGGGAACGACGCCCUCCAGUAUCAUAACAACACAGCCUUCAGCACCAAGGACAAGGACAAUGACAACUGCUUGGACAAGUGUGCACAGCUCCGCAAAGGUGGCUACUGGUACAACUGCUGCACAGACUCCAACCUCAAUGGAGUGUACUACCGCCUGGGUGAGCACAAUAAGCACCUGGAUGGCAUCACCUGGUAUGGCUGGCAUGGAUCUACCUACUCCCUCAAACGGGUGGAGAUGAAAAUCCGCCCAGAAGACUUCAAGCCUUAAAAGGAGGCUGCCGUGGAGCACGGAUACAGAAACUGAGACACGUGGAGACUGGAUGAGGGCAGAUGAGGACAGGAAGAGAGUGUUAGAAAGGGUAGGACUGAGAAACAGCCUAUAAUCUCCAAAGAAAGAAUAAGUCUCCAAGGAGCACAAAAAAA